rnacentral:tRNA from 1 species
UCUCUGGUGGUCCAGUGGUUUAGACUCCAUGCUUCCAAUGCAUGGGGCCAGGGUUCAAUUCCUGGUUGGGGAA